GAAUGAGCGAGCGCGAAAGAGCGGACUUGUUUGGAGACCGAACCAUGAAAAGAUUAUAGUUUGAAAGUAAGUAUAAAGCAACUUGUGCGCGUCAGUCAAAUAAUAGACCUGACUGAGGUCAUGAAAGAGCAGUCAAAGAGCUAAGAAACAAUCC
rnacentral:rRNA from 1 species